GAAACGGUGACUAAUACCGCAUAAUAUUCUUGGAAGGCAUCUUCCGAGAAGGAAAGGAAAUAUUCGGUAAAAGAUGGGCCCGCAUCUGAUUAGCUAGUUGGUGAGAUAACAGCCCACCAAGGCGACGAUCAGUAGCCGACCUGAGAGGGUGACCGGCCACAUUGGGACUGAGACACGGCCCAAACUCCUACGGGAGGCAGCAGUGGGGAAUAUUGCACAAUGGGGGGAACCCUGAUGCAGCAACGCCGCGUGAAGGAAGACGGUUUUCGGAUUGUAAACUUCUAUCGAUAGGGAAGAAAGAAAUGACGGUACCUAAAUAAGAAGCCCCGGCUAACUACGUGCCAGCAGCCGCGGUAAUACGUAGGGGGCAAGCGUUAUCCGGAAUUACUGGGUGUAAAGGGAGAGUAGGCGGCAAGGUAAGCGAUAUGUGAAAGCCUUAGGCUUAACCUGAGGAUUGCAUAACGAACUAUCUAGCUAGAGUACAGGAGAGGAAAGCGGAAUUCCUAGUGUAGCGGUGAAAUGCGUAGAUAUUAGGAAGAACACCAGUGGCGAAGGCGGCUUUCUGGACUGAAACUGACGCUGAGGCUCGAAAGCGUGGGGAGCGAACAGGAUUAGAUACCCUGGUAGUCC
rnacentral:rRNA from 1 species